UGGGGAAUAUUGGACAAUGGGCGCAAGCCUGAUCCAGCAAUGCCGCGUGUGUGAAGAAGGCCUUCGGGUUGUAAAACACUUUUAUCAGGAGCGAAACGCUGUCGGCUAAUACCCGGCGGAACUGACGGUACCUGAGGAAUAAGCACCGGCUAACUUCGUGCCAGCAGCCGCGGUAAUACGAAGGGUGCAAGCGUUAAUCGGAAUUACUGGGCGUAAAGCGUGCGUAGGCGGUUUCUUAAGUCUGCUGUGAAAUCCCCGGGCUCAACCUGGGAAUGGCAGUGGAUACUGGGAGGCUAGAGUGUGUCAGAGGGUGGUGGAAUUCCCGGUGUAGCGGUGAAAUGCGUAGAGAUCGGGAGGAACAUCAGUGGCGAAGGCGGCCACCUGGGACAACACUGACGCUGAGGCACGAAAGCGUGGGGAGCAAACAGGAUUAGAUACCCUGGUAGUCCACGCCCUAAACGAUGCGAACUGGAUGUUGUCUCAACUCGGAGAUCAGUGUCGAAGCUAACGCGUUAAGUUCGCCGCCUGGGGAGUACGGUCGCAAGACUGAAACUUAAAUGAAUUGAC
rnacentral:rRNA from 1 species